rnacentral:sRNA from 1 species
AAUUAAAUUUAAUUAAAACACACAUAUACCAACACUGCGUAUCGGGGUGUUCUACUUAUUUACUUAGGUGGGAUCGAUACAAUGGGUAUAUGGAGGCCUAAC